rnacentral:ncRNA from 1 species
AAAUUUCAUUGAAACUAAACUUAUAUAUCGUCAUGAUAUGGAUGACAGUUUCUACCUUGUGCCGUAAACGCAAGACUAUAAGUAAAAAUUGUACGGUU